rnacentral:rRNA from 1 species
AUUACUUGUUAUGAGUUUGACUGUGGCUCGGAAUGAACGCGGGCAAUAUGUCUUGACACAUGCGAAUUGUACGUAAAUUCUAAAUGAAUUUAAGUGGUGCAAGGGUGAGUAAUACAGUAGCAGUUAUCAGUGAGAUUAGUAAUUAAAUACUAAAUAUAGAUAAAAUUUUGGGCUUACAAUACUUAUAUGUGUAUUACACAUAUUUAUAGUCUGUAAUAGAAUUAUUUGGCAAUGUAAUCGAUCCUUGACUAAUCAAGGGUUAGUACCUGAUUAACCUUAUGUUAAUCUUACGUGAUUAAUAAACAGGCCCUAACUAUUCGAAGUACUCGGUAGACUACUGAGGUUAAGUUUGAGUCCCUGAGUUAACAAAUAAAAACCCGUAAAGUCCAUAAUCUGUAGCUUUAAUGUUAAUAACUUAUUUAUUUAUUCGGCAGUUUCGGGCAAUACUUCUUCUUAGGAAGAGGUUUUCGAAACUAUUUAUGUCGUGUAAAUUGUAUAAAUUAUUUGCCCAAAGCUUAAAUGUACUUUAAAAGCCGUAUUGGUCUAAUUAAAAUCUAUCUUAAAAGGCGUGAAAUUAAAUUUAUCUACAAAAACUAUUUUUAGUUGCGUGGAAUAACUUAGCGCUCACUGGGACCGUAUCUGUUGAGGUAGGUAUUUAGUUUGUGAUUAGAAACUAAGCCGAAGACGUCUAGCUGGGUUGAGAGAUUGUCCAGUCACAUGGGAGCUGAAAAACAUCCCACCGUCGGCAGCAGUGGGGAAUAUUGGUCAAUGAACGAAAGUUUGAACCAGCGUAUUGCGUAAGAUGAAAGGUCGAUUUGUAAGGCCGCGAAGGCUACGAAAGCUGUAAAGUCUGGCUGCGAGUCAAAAUAAUGACAUUAAACACGUGAAAAUCCCGGGCUAAGAAGGUGCCAGCAGCUGCGGUAAUACCUUAUCGGGGGAGCGUUAUUGGCCCUUACUGAGCGUAUAGUAUGGCUAGACAAUUUAAGAAGUUGUGGAAUAAAUCAAAAAUCUAGAACUAAUCUAUCCACAAAACCUUAAUAUUAGGGAUAUUAAGAGGUUGAUAAUACCUAUAGUAUAGAGAUAAAAUAUUGUAAUACUAUUAGGGAUUCCCGACGGCCUCGGCAAUCUUCUAUUAGUAUCUUUCGUCGAACCAUUUAAGUAUAAGUAUCGAAUAGGAUUUGAGACCCUAGUAGUUUAUACCAUGAAUCAAUGGGUAUCAUAUGUGGAGAAAUUUAUCUUCGUGUAUACGUUAACGCUUGAAUACCUCGCUUGGAGAGUAAGGCUGCAAAGGUUAAACUUAAACAGAUUGGCGGGAGUUUGUUUGAACGGUGGAGCGUGUGGAUUAAUUCGAUAAUCCGCGCCUAAUCUUACCAACGUAUUGAAAAGUUUUGUAGUAAUAUUUAACGGUAUACUUCGAAAUACUUUAAAUUGGUACUGCAUGGCUGUCGUAAGCUCGUGUUGUGAAAUGUCCUAUUAAUUUAUCCAACGAACGCAACCUUUUAUAUAAGUUUAGGAGAAAAUUUUUGUUAAAGAAACGGAGUAUAUUUAAUUACUUUUAUACUACGCUUAAUGAAAUUUACCCUAGCUUAUACAUACUAUAAAGCUAGUUAAGAAUUUUUAUAAUUGUAUAAUAUAAAAAUAACCGGCUUUGGGGGAGCAGAGAAGAAGUCAAGUCAUUAUGGUCUACAUACGUUGGGCUUCACAUGCGCUACAAAGGUAGAUACAAUUAGAAGUAACUGCGUAAGCUGGAACAAAUCUAUAAAAACUAUCUAAGUCCGGAUUAUAGGCUGGAACUCGCCUGUAUCAAGUCGGAAUCGUUAGUAAUCGUGAAUCAGCACGUCACGGUGAAUGAUCUGUCAAACUUUGCACACACCGCCCAUCACGCUCGAAGAAUUGUGUCGGCUGGACACUUACUUUUAAGUAAUAGUUUAGCUACUUUUAGUUUAAAUAACUAAUAGAUUUUUAUCCUCUAUAACAUGCCUCUGUCGUGUUUGUCGAGGGGCUAUACCCCAGUUUAACUUAUGUUAAUGUUGGACUUCGCAACAACUGGGGAUUGCUACUCUUAACCCACAGUGCACUAAAACUAGAGCAGCUUAAGUGGUUUAGGAAUAAAAUUCUACCAUAAAGUAGCUUGUAAUGUGAGGAGUCUUUUAUUUAUCGGCCCCAAAACCUCUAUUAUUUUUUUGGUAGUUAAGGACGGUGUGGUAAUUUGAGCGAAGUUGAAACAAGGUAAUAGUAGGGGAACCUGUUGUUGGAUUACACAUAUC